rnacentral:rRNA from 1 species
CAGUCGCCGCGGGAAUACGGAGGGGGCUAGCGUUGUUCGGAAUUACUGGGCGUAAAGCGCACGUAGGCGGCUUGGUAAGUUAGAGGUGAAAGCCUGGAGCUCAACUCCAGAAUUGCCUUUAAGACUGCCGAGCUAGCAGGUGAGAGAGGUAAGUGGAAUUCCGAGUGUAGAGGUGAAAUUCGUAGAUAUUCGGAAGAACACCAGUGGCGAAGGCGGCUUACUGGCUCAUACUGGACGCUGAGGUGCGAAAGCGUGGGGAGCAAACAGGAUUAGAUACCCCAGUAGUCCCUGUCUCUUAUAU